GGCGGCCAUUUUAAAAUUUCUAAAUAUUGUCUUGACAUCUAGGCAUACCAAGGAACAUUUCCAUAAAGUUUCAUCCAGCUAGGUCUUAUAAUGAAAGAUUUAGAAUUUUGAAAUUUUUUCACUUUUUAGCAGUUUCCAUGGAAACGGCGGCCAUUUAAAAAAGAAUUCCAGAGUCAGAUGCACAACUUCAAAUGGGGGUCCUCAUUAUGUUAUAGUUCCAACAACAUUGGAUCACUCAAUUCUUAGAAACACG
rnacentral:lncRNA from 1 species